rnacentral:rRNA from 1 species
AUUGAACGCUGGCGGCAGGCUUAACACAUGCAAGUCGAGCGGAGAUGAGGUGCUUGCACCUUAUCUUAGCGGCGGACGGGUGAGUAAUGCUUAGGAAUCUGCCAUUUAGUGGGGGACAACAUUCCGAAAGGAAUGCUAAUACCGCAUACGUCCUACGGGAGAAAGCAGGGGAUCUUCGGACCUUGCGCUAAAUGAUGAGCCUAAGUCGGAUUAGCUAGUUGGUGGGGUAAAGGCCUACCAAGGCGACGAUCUGUAGCGGGUCUGAGAGGAUGAUUCGCCACACUGGGACUGAGACACGGCCCAGACUCCUACGGGAGGCAGCAGUGGGGAAUAUUGGACAAUGGGGGGAACCCUGAUCCAGCCAUGCCGCGUGUGUGAAGAAGGCCUUAUGGUUGUAAAGCACUUUAAGCGAGGAGGAGGCUACUGAGACUAAUACUCUUGGAUAGUGGACGUUACUCGCAGAAUAAGCACCGGCUAACUCUGUG